rnacentral:rRNA from 1 species
AUGGCGGGCGAUCCGACCGGCGGCGGCGGCGGCUCCGCGACGGGGAAGGGUCCCCGCUCGUCGACGCGGCACCAGCAGUUCCGCGACCGCGCUAAGACCCGCGUGGACGACCUCCAGGAGAUCUUCUCCGGCCUCCAGUCCGCCCGCAAGGAGAGCCGCUCCGCCGACGCCGCCGUCCUCGAGGAGCAGGUCCACCAGAUGCUCCGCGAGUGGCGGGCCGAGCUCAGCGUCGCCUCCCCCGCCUCCUCCCUCCAGAACUCGCUGGGGAACAACCAGGGCGCCGCGGAUCCGCCGUCGGAGACGCUGCGGCUGCUGCAGCUGGCGAUUGAGGAGGAGGACGACGCCACCAGCAAGCUGGCGCAGCCGAUGCAGCCCUCCCGGCAGGACGAUCAUCAGAGUCUCAACCCCGGACUGCAAGUACACGGAGGGACUGUGGAUGGCGGUGCCAAUGCGUCACAGCAGUCACUGGGUCAUGGAAUGCAGGGAGAUUGUGGGGGAGAAGUAGCUGAUGUUGCUAAUGCAUUGUUCAGUGAUCAGAUGUACUAUAUAGACCAUGAACUUAGUAUUGAUGAUUUUCUUCACGGGUCAAACCCAGAUGGCCUCAAUAACCAGCCGGAACAUCAGCAGUUCAAUUUGCCACUAGAUCUGCAACAUUCUAAUAGUUCAUAUGCUGAUGCAAAUAACUCUGUGCAAAGUACUGGAGAUGUUUUUUUCCACAUGUCAGACUUGCUCACAACAGUCAGCCCAUCACCUUCUCAAUAUUUGGGGCCAAAAUGUGCGCUCUGGGAUUGUGGUCGACCUGUGCGAGGAUCAGAAGAGUGUCAAGACUACUGCAACCCAUAUCAUGCUGGCUUAGCUUUGAAUGAUGAUGGUCUUCUGGGGACAAUGGGAACAAGACCUGUGAUGCGGCCAAGGGGUAUUGAUUUGAAAGAUGGGCCCCUGUUUGAUGCUCUUUGUGCAAAAGUCCAAGGAAAAAAUGUUGGUAUUCCUGUCUGUGUAGGGGCUGCAACAUCAAAAUCACCUUGGAAUGCACAUGAACUUUUUGAUCUUUCUCUUCUUGAGGGUGAAUCUCUUAGGGAAUGGUUAUUCUUUGACAGACCAAGGAGGGCAUUUGAGAGCGGCAACCGCAAGCAAAGGUCGUUGCCAGAUUACAACGGCCGUGGAUGGCAUGAAUCAAGGAAGCAAGUGAUGAAGGACUUUGGGGGCCUGAAGAAAUCCUAUUACAUGGACCCACAACCAUCCAGCAACUAUGAGUGGCACCUUUUUGAAUAUGAGAUAAAUGAUUCUAACACUCUAGCCUUGUACCGGCUUGAGUUCAAGGCUUCUGAUCCUAAAAGGAGUGUUAAAUCAAAACUGGGCAGCAGUUCACUCAACGAAAUCCAGCAGCAAAUGGUCAAGCUUAGUGCAAACAGUCCGGUGGACAACAAGCGGGGCGCUAGGAGCAAGACAAAGGCUACUCAAAAGGACACCAAUGCGAAUACAUAUCCAGCUCUCAAGACCACCAAUCAAGCGGGUGCUUCAAAUGCUUAUGAAGCAGUGCCCCUCAACAUCAUCCCCAAUCAGGCCAGUGCCUCCAAUGCUUACCAAGCAGUGGCUCCCAGCAUCCCCAAUCAGGACAGUACCUCGAACGCCUAUGAAGAUGCAUCACAAGUGGACCCGAUGUCAUAUCUGAAUGAAAACGUCGUCUAUGGACCUCAUCUCCCAUAUGGUUACCCUGACGGAAAAGGCGAUUUCUACUGGAACCCCAGUGGCGGCACCUGA